rnacentral:rRNA from 1 species
UUACCGAGUUUACAACUCCCAAACCCCUGUGAACAUACCUUAAUGUUGCCUCGGCGGAUCAGCCCGCGCCCCGUAAAACGGGACGGCCCGCCAGAGGACCCAAACUCUAAUGUUUCUUAUUGUAACUUCUGAGUAAAACAAACAAAUAAAUCAAAACUUUCAACAACGGAUCUCUUGGUUCUGGCAUCGAUGAAGAACGCAGCAAAAUGCGAUAAGUAAUGUGAAUUGCAGAAUUCAGUGAAUCAUCGAAUCUUUGAACGCACAUUGCGCCCGCUGGUAUUCCGGCGGGCAUGCCUGUUCGAGCGUCAUUUCAACCCUCAAGCCCCCGGGUUUGGUGUUGGGGAUCGGCUCUGCCUUCUGGCGGCGCCGCCCCCGAAAUACAUUGGCGGUCUCGCUGCAGCCUCCAUUGCGUAGUAGCUAACACCUCGCAACUGGAACGCGGCGCGGCCAUGCCGUAAAACCCCAACUUCUGAAUGUUGACCUCGGAUCAGGUAGGAAUACCCGCUGAACUUAAGCAUAU